UUUUUUUUUUUUUUUUUUUUUUUUUUAAGGAAAGGUAACUUAAAAGGUGAAAAUAUCUUCUUGGUGCUAGGAAUUAAACCAGGGUCUGACUCAAGUCUCAACAAGUGCUCUACCUCUGAAAUACAUCCCCACUCUGUUUAUCUACUGUGUUAAAUUGUUACUAAUGUGUAGUUACCCAGAAUCCUGAAAUAAGUCAUCCACAUAGGCAUAGUUUACUAUAGAGUACUUAGUUGUAAAUUUACAAUUAAGUUUUUUUUUCUAUUUUUUUUUCUUUUAGGUUUAUACAUUUUUUUUUUUUUUUUUAAAGAUGGGGGUUUUAUCCUAGUCCAGAAUAGCUUAGAAUUUACUGAGUGGUCAGGUUGACUUUAAACUUAAAGUAAUCCUCCUGUAUCAGCUUUCCAAGAGUUGUACUUGUAAAGGCAAGUUGUUGUGGUACCCCUCACACAUCCGCAAUAGAAAUUUUUCUGAAAAAAAGUAUGUACAAAGUUGACAAUGAAUACUUAUAUGCAAAUUAGAUGUUCUUUGAAUUUAAUAUAGGAAAAUCCAGCAUGUAUAAUUCUUAGGUAACACACAAAUGGAACUUUAGACUCUUUACUAUUUAUUGCUUUGUAAUCGAUGUGAAAUAUUACAAAGUUUCGUUUUUAUGCCAAUUGGUUUAAUGAUGUACUACUAAAAUUUAACUUUGAAAAUCUUCCUGAAGGGCACUGUUACAGUUCCUAAAGAAAAUAAAAAUGUGACGGUUUAAUGUAGUUUCAUGGUAUAGUAGGGGUUAUUUGUUAAUUGUGCAUGGAAAUUUAUCUGAAGUUACAUAAUUGAGCCAGCCUGAAUACAGAUACAGAAAUGCUAGCUAUUUUGUCGUUUAAAUAGAUACGUGUUUGAAUCUCAAAGUAAAUCCAGGAGUUUAGAGUACUUGACUAGUAUGCAAUAGUAGUUCUGUAGCAGAGGCUGCCCUUGAACACUGGGGGAUCUUCCUGCUUCAGCCUCCAGACUGCUGGCUUUAAGUGCCACUGUAUCUGGCAUGAAUAAACUAUUAUAUUCAGUAUGCCAUGUAAAGUGGGAGAUAAAAAGAUGAAAAAAAUUAAUAAUUCUUGGGGGAAAUUAGGGAUAUAGUAAAUUUUUAAUAGAAAAUUAGCUAACAUUGGUGAAUACCUAGAUACUUAUGACUAUUCUAUGUGUUGGGACUUAAGAUGGAAAGGAAUAAAAUGAAGAUUGAAUAGCAGAAACAGAGAUUUUUGGUAGCUUUGUUAUUUAUUAGAAAAAUUUCUUUAAUUCACAGCAUAAUGAAACAAUCACGUUAAGUAGUUAAGCAGAUUUAUUUAAUUUUCUUUCUUUUUUUUUUUUAGUUUACAGAAAAGAGAAGAGAAUUGAAGUUUGAUGGUCGUUUAGAUAAGGAACUUUCAGAAUCUUAUGCAUUUCUCAUGGUUGAUCGGUACCAGGUGAGAUAAUUCUGUUUCCAUUGUAAGUGAUUUGUUUCCUAAUUAUUCUUUUGAUAAGGAUAAGGUAAUCUUUUCUUCUGUUUUCCAUGGAGGGGGAGGAGAGUGAGAAUGUUGAAUUCAAGUUGCCAGUCUUGGUGGUGGUGCCUUUACUUACUAAGCAUCCUACUAGUUGUUUAUUUUAUUUCAUUAAUUUGUUUCUUUAUUCACUUUAUAUACCCUUGUUUAUUUUUUAAGAUUUAUCUUUAUUUUUAAUAAAGUAUGUGCGCAUUAGUUUGGGUAAGUGUUGACUCUCCUGAAGCUAGAGUUACAGGCAAUAGUUAGUGAUCCUCCUGACAUGAGUGCCGGGAAUUCAGGGUGAAUUCUCCAGCAGAAUAGUAUGAGCUCUUAACCACUGACCCAUCUCACUAGCUCUUGUUUGUUUGUUUGUUUGUUUGUUUGUUUGUUUUGGGGGGGGAUGCAGGGGGUGACUUGCUAUGCAUUUCAGGUUGUCUUUCCUUGAACUUAGAGGCAUCUUGCUGCCAGUCUUUUGGGGUUAUAGACAUUCCCUGUAACCUAACGUUUUUAUUAAUGUAUAAGUAGAACAAAUAAUUCAGAAGGGCAAAUUAUGUUUUGUAAUUUCUUUUUCAAAUGUAAUUAUUGUUUCUCUGAUCAUGUCUGUUUUUUUCCCCUAGAAUAAAAACUUUUUUUUUUUUAAAUGAAAACAAGACUCUCUUAUAUAAUGUUGAUUCUAUGUUUUUUUAAAAAUGUUUUGCUUGAGGCUAGAGAGGUGGUUCAGACAUUAAGGCACUUGCUGCUCUUCAAGAGGACUUGAGUUCAGUUUCUAGCAACUGACUAUAUUGGUCAGCUCACAAAGCACCUCUAAGUCAGCUCCAGAGAAUCUAUUGCCCCCUUCUGGUGUUUCAGAGCACUGCCACACACAAGUACAUAAUUCACAUAACUAAGAAUAUUUUGCUGGUCUUAAUUCUCUUUUGCAGGUGAGGAUAUCUGACAAGUAGCAUAAAGAAAAAUGAAUUUUUGAUAGGAUAACCUUAGAAAUUUAAGCCAGUUUUACAUUGAUACUUACUAGUUAGCUGAGAUCUGUGUGUGAAAAUUUUGUAAUUAUAGAUUAGAAGAUAAAAUUUUGAAGUUUUAAAAAUUAACUUUUCUUGUUAAUUUGAUUUUAAACUGAAAUGUUUUGUUUACAUAGGUUCAGAGCAUAUGUGAAAAAGGAUUGCAGGUGGGCCAAUCCAAAAUAACAGUUCUUGGCAGUCCUUCCAUGGGUAAUUUUUCUUGUUUCUCAUUUGUACUUAACUAUUAAGUUGCCAUUUAAAAUCCUAAUUGCAGUAUACCUAUAGUCACUAAUUAAAUUAGUAUGCUUUUCAUAUUUUCAAAUAAGGAGACUAGUAUUAAGUUCUGAAAUAAAACACUGGUUUUAUUUCUUUGUUUCUGAUUUUAAAUACUUUGAAUUGAUCAAAUGUUACUAUUUAAAAUGUUUUAUGAUUUUGAAAAAUUAUACUAAUUUUAUAUUUUACUCUGGAUGUUGUCUUUAGUAUUGCUUUUAAAAAGUUGUCAUACCUCCUAUUCCUUUUAUUAUUGGUUAAAUAAUUUGAUUUUUUUAAAAAUUAAACUUGAUUGUUCACAUUCAAAUUAUUUUUUUCUUUUAGGUAUCUAUCUUUGUAGGUAUGCAGAUCUCUUACAGGCUAAUCCUUUGGAGGCUGGGGCAGUAGGCGAUGUUGUUAUUUUUAAAAUCAUGAAGGUAAUUUUAACUUGUAUUUGUACAUAGAAAAGGCAACAUUUAACUUGGACUUUAAUUUUAAGUGACAUGACUUUAGGAGUUUGAGUUAAAAGCCUAUAUUUGGUAGUGUAUGAAGAGUUGCUGUCUUUAGAUUAUCUUCAUUUAAUAAUUAUGUAUGUGUUGGGGUACACAUGCCACAGGAUGCAUGUGAAGAUCAGAGGAAGGCUUGGGGCUUGGGGGUGUUAGUUCUUCCUUCAGCCUUGCGGAUAAUUACAACUCAAAACCUCAGGUUAUCAGGUUUGGUGGUUUUACCUGCUGAGCUAUGUCACUGCCAGCAUCCCCCUCUCUUCCACCUCCAUUUUCC
rnacentral:lncRNA from 1 species